CACGUAGGGGGCGAGCGUUGUUCGGAUUUACUGGGCGUAAAGAGCUCGUAGGCGGUUUGUUGCGUCGGCUGUGAAAUCCCGAGGCUCAACCUCGGGUCUGCAGUCGAUACGAGCAAACUAGAGUGUUGCAGGGGAGACUGGAAUUCCUGGUGUAGCGGUGAAAUGCGCAGAUAUCAGGAGGAACACCGGUGGCGAAGGCGGGUCUCUGGGCAACAACUGACGCUGAGGAGCGAAAGCGUGGGGAGCGAACAGG
rnacentral:rRNA from 1 species